rnacentral:misc_RNA from 1 species
GAUGAAGAACGCAGCGAAAUGCGAUAAGUAAUGUGAAUUGCAGAAUUCAGUGAAUCAUCGAAUCUUUGAACGCACAUUGCGCCCGCCAGUAUUCUGGCGGGCAUGCCUGUUCGAGCGUCAUUACAACCCUCAGGCCCCCGGGCCUGGCGUUGGGGAUCGGCGGAAGCCCCCUGUGGGCACACGCCGUCCCUCAAAUACAGUGGCGGUCCCGCCGCAGCUUCCAUUGCGUAGUAGCUAACACCUCGCAACUGGAGAGCGGCGCGGCCAUGCCGUAAAACCCCCAACUUCUGAAUGUUGACCUCGAAUCAGGUAGGAAUACCCGCUGAACUUAAGCAUAUCAAUAAGCGGAGGA